UACAGAGGGGCAAGCGUUGUUCGGAAUUACUGGGCGUAAAGGGCGCGUAGGCGGCCUGUUAAGUCGGACGUGAAAUCCCCGGGCUCAACCCGGGAACUGCGUCCGAUACUGGCAGGCUUGAAUCCGGGAGAGGGAUGUGGAAUUCCAGGUGUAGCGGUGAAAUGCGUAGAUAUCUGGAGGAACACCGGUGGCGAAGGCGGCAUCCUGGACCGGCAUUGACGCUGAGGCGCGAAAGCCAGGGGAGCAAAGCGGG
rnacentral:rRNA from 1 species